GAGCUUAUGAUGAAAAGUUUAAUUAUCUUAGCGGAUUUCAGUGAGGUCCUAGGAUCAAUGAUCUGAUUGUUACACACACUGAGGCUC